rnacentral:rRNA from 1 species
AGUCAUAUGCUUGUCUCAAAGACUAACUCAUGCAUGUCUAAGUAUAAGUUUUAUACGGCGAAACUGCGAAUGGCUCAUUAAAACAGUUAUAGUUUACUUGAUAAUCAAAUUUACAUGGAUAACCGUGGUAAUUCUAGAGCUAAUACAUGCUGUAAUGCCUAACUUUUUGGAAGGGCGGUAUUUAUUAGAUAACAACCAAUAUUCUUCGUGUCUAUUAUGAUGAUUCAUAAUAACUUUCGAAUCGCACGGUCUUUGGCCGCGAUAAUUCAUUCAAGUUUCUGCCCCAUCAGCUUUCGAUGGUAGUGUAUUGGACUACCAUGGCAAUAACGGGUAACGGAGAAUUAGGGUUCGAUUCCGGAGAGGGAGCCUGAGAAACGGCUACCACAUCUAAGGAUGGCAGCAGAGGCGUAAAUUACCCAAUCCUGACUCAGGGAGGUAGUGACAAGAAAUAACGAGCCGAAUUUUAUUCGGAAUUGGAAUGAGUCGAUUUUUUUUCCCUUGGUGAGGAACAAUUGGAGGGCAAGUCUGGUGCCAGCAGCCGCGGUAAUUCCAGCUCCAAUAGCAUAUAUUAAUGUUGUUGCAGUUAAAAAGCUCGUAGUUGGAUUUCUGUGAGUGUGCCAAUGUCGUCCCCAGUGAUUGCGCAGAGGCGCCUUGCAUCCUUCGGUAGUUUCCGCACGGCAUUCACAUGCCGGCGGCCGGCUCCGAAUAUUUACCUUGAGAAAAUUAGAGUGUUUCAGCAGGCUAAGCCGGAAUACAUUAGCAUGGAAUAAUAGAAUAGGACUACGGUCUCGUUGUUGGUUUGAGGGACUGGAGUAAUGAUUAAUAGGGAUAGUUGGGGGCAUUAGUGUUUAAUUGUCAGAGGUGAAAUUCUCAGAUUAACUAAAGACUAACUUAUGCGAAGGCAUUUGCCAAGGAUGUUUUUCAUUAAUCAAGAACGAAAGUUAGGGGAUCAAAGACGAUCAGAUACCGUCCUAGUCUUAACCAUAAACUAUGCCGACUCGGGAUCGGGGGCGAGAAAUUAUCAGUCUUCGGCACCGUAUGAGAAAUCAAAGUCUUGGGUUCCGGGGGGAGUAUGGUCGCAAGGUUGAAACUUAAAGGAAUUGACGGAAGGGCACCACCAGGCGUGGAGCUUGCGGCUCAAUUUGACUCAACACGGGAAAACUUACCAGGUCCAGACAUAGUAAGGAUUGACAGAUUGAUAGCUCUUUCUUGAUUCUAUGGGUGGUGGUGCAUGGCCGUUCUUAGUUGGUGGAGUGAUUUGUCUGGUUAAUUCCGUUAACGAACGAGACCUUUGCCUGCUAAAUAGUCACACGCCAUCUUGAUGGUUGUUGACUUCUUAGAGGGACUUUGUGACAAGCAAACGCAAGGAAGUUGGAGGCAAUAACAGGUCUGUGAUGCCCUUAGAUGUCCUGGGCCGCACGCGUGCUACACUGACGCAUACAGCGAGCACUUUCCAGUUCCGAGAGGCUUCUGGUAAUCAUCAAUAUGCGUCGUGAUGGGGAUAGACCUUUGGAAUUCUGGGUCUUGAACGAGGAAUGCCUAGUAAUCGUAGGUCAUUAGCCUACGAUGAUUAAGUCCCUGCCCUUUGUACACACCGCCCGUCGCUACUACCGAUUUCGAGUGGUCAGGUGAAUCUUUUGGACUGUGAAUGGCCCCGAGUUGUUCGCGGAAAGUCAGGUAAAUCUUAUCACUUAGAGGAAGUAAAAGUCGUAACAAGGUUUCC